AACGAACGCUGGCGGCAGGCUUAACACAUGCAAGUCGAGCGCCCCGCAAGGGGAGCGGCAGACGGGUGAGUAACGCGUGGGAACGUGCCCUUUGGUUCGGAACAACUCCGGGAAACUGGAGCUAAUACCGGAUAAGCCCUUCGGGGGAAAGAUUUAUCGCCAAAGGAUCGGCCCGCGCCUGAUUAGCUAGUUGGUGAGGUAAUGGCUCACCAAGGCGACGAUCAGUAGCUGGUCUGAGAGGAUGAUCAGCCACACUGGGACUGAGACACGGCCCAGACUCCUACGGGAGGCAGCAGUGGGGAAUAUUGGACAAUGGGCGCAAGCCUGAUCCAGCCAUGCCGCGUGAGUGAUGAAGGCCUUAGGGUUGUAAAGCUCUUUUGUCCGGGAAGAUAAUGACUGUACCGGAAGAAUAAGCCCCGGCUAACUUCGUGCCAGCAGCCGCCGUAA
rnacentral:rRNA from 1 species